UACGGAGGGUGCAAGCGUUAUCCGGAUUCACUGGGUUUAAAGGGUGCGUAGGCGGCCCUGUAAGUCCGUUGUGAAAGUCAAAGGCUCAACCUUUGAAAGCCGAUGGAUACUGCAGGGCUAGAGUCCGGAAGAGGCGAGUGGAAUUCCUGGUGUAGCGGUGGAAUGCGCAGAUAUCAGGAGGAACACCUGCGGUGUAGACGGCUUACUGGACGGUAACUGACGCUGAGGCACGAAAGCGUGGGUAGCAAACAGG
rnacentral:rRNA from 1 species